rnacentral:rRNA from 1 species
GACGAACCGUGCAAACGUUGUUCGGAAUCACUGGGCUUAAAGGGCGCGUAGGCGGGCCAGCCAGUCUGUGGUGAAAGCCUCCAGCUUAACUGGAGAAGUGCCGUGGAUACUGCUGGCCUCGAGGAGGGUAGGGGCAUCUGGAACAGUAGGUGGAGCGGUGAAAUGCGUUGAUAUCUACUGGAACUCCGGUGGCGAAGGCGAGGUGCUGGACCCUUUCUGACGCCGAGGCGCGAAAGCCAGGGGAGCAAACGGG